UCUCAAGAGGCCACAGUGGUUGUAGGUGCAGAUAUUAUGGCAGUGACCAUCACGACCGGGGAGAGUAGUAUCGAGUAGAGUGGAGCAGAGCGGAGCGCGAGAGCGCGUUUCCGGUCCGCCGGGGAACCGGAGCGCAGAGACUGAGAGCAGCUGCCCUGCGCACAUCCACAUCCAGCGGCGCUCUUUGUAUCCAACACAUCGGCACGAACGCGGCCCGUACAGCACGGCGACAAGCUCCUGCGGAAAGGGAUCUGUUGAAGUGAAACAUGCCCCGGUCAAAAGAGAUUUCAGAGGACAUCAGAAGAAGAGUUGUCGAGGCUCAUAAGGCUGGAAAAGGCUACAAAAGCAUUUCCAAAGAAUUGGGCCUCCAUCGCUCUACAGUCAGGCAGAUUGUGCACAAAUGGAAGGAGUUCAGUACCGUAUCCACUCUCCCCAGGAGUGGGCGUCCUGCGAAGAUCAAUGCAAGAGUGUGCCGCAUGAUACUGAGAGAGAUGACGAAAAACCCAAAAGCGACGGCAAAAGAUCUGCAGGCAUCGCUUGCUUGUGCCGAAGUGUACGUUCAUGACUCCACAAUAAGGAAAACACUCAACAUAGGUGGAGGCAGGGGUGCACAAAAGAAACCCCUGCGCUCCAAAAAAAAA